CCUACGGGGGGCAACAGUGGGGAAUAUUGGACAAUGGGGGCAACCCUGAUCCAGCCAUGCCGCGUGUGUGAAGAAGGCCCUCGGGUUGUAAAGCACUUUCAGUGAGGAAGAACGCCUGGUGGUUAAUACCCAUCAGGAAAGACAUCACUCACAGAAGAAGCACCGGCUAACUCCGUGCCAGCAGCCGCGGUAAUACGGAGGGUGCGAGCGUUAAUCGGAAUUACUGGGCGUAAAGCGCGCGUAGGUGGCUUGAUAAGCCGGUUGUGAAAGCCCCGGGCUCAACCUGGGAACGGCAUCCGGAACUGUCAAGCUAGAGUGCAGGAGAGGAAGGUAGAAUUCCCGGUGUAGCGGUGAAAUGCGUAGAGAUCGGGAGGAAUACCAGUGGCGAAGGCGGCCUUCUGGACUGACACUGACACUGAGGUGCGAAAGCGUGGGUAGCAAACAGGAUUAGAUACCCGAGUAGUC
rnacentral:rRNA from 1 species